AGAGCCAUAGAGCUAAAAAGAGUCGCGACACUCCCAUUGGACUCCGUUGUACGCUGUUUGCCGCCCACUUCCGGGGUAUGCAGCCUCGCAUAGUUCCAAAAAGCCAUUCUAUGGCGUCGGACAUCAUUCACUUCCAUUGCUGACUCUCGAGUAACUUCUGAGCUCCAGCCAGCAUAAACACCAGUGCAUGCGUCGCUUGUCCUUGGUGGUCAGGCAGCGUGAUGUUGCCAAAUAGCCUCCCCGUUCCCAGAUGGAGCUCCACGCCUGGAGUAAUGGACAUUUCAUCUAAGCGUGCGGAUGUUAGGCAGUGGAAUUUGCAUUUUCUGGAGGGUUUUAUAACCGGUGGUGCCAGUGGUAAAUCUUAUUUUUAUAGCUUUUUUGUCUCCUUUCCCCACCGUAUUCCUCUCUUCUUUUCCUGUCCAAGGGCUGUCAUUUGGUCUCUGUUAAACAUUUGGGUGAACUUCUGAUUAACUAAAUUGUUCCUCUUUCUUAGCGCCAAAUUCAUUCUUUUUUGCUGUGCUAGAGCCCUCUCUGCUCUCCUUCUCAUUAACUUCUCCAUUUUAAGUUGCCUUAUUAGGUCCUCCACAAUUGCACUAUUAGACCCUGGCAGUCUGGUCCCUGGAGCACCUGGCCCUGGCAAAGUUGGUUCAUCGUUGCGGGCUCCUGACUGACUGGCCCUCGGCACACACAUCCCUGGAUCACCUGCCCCUUGUAAAGUAGCCUCUUGGUCGCUCUCUCUGUCUCCUGUCAUGUCCCUUUCCUUGCCCUCAAAAUCCACCUCAAUUUCUCCCUCAACCUCUGUAACAAUAACAAGGUAAUGUUGCUGUUAUAUGUAUUUUGCAUUUGCACCUACUGUUAUCUUCAAUAAAAGGGUACACUACACGCCUAUAGAAAACAAA